rnacentral:rRNA from 1 species
UGCUAACGAUGGGCCCGUAGCGGCGAGCAUACGUGGGGGUCAAGCGUUAUCCGGAAGUACGGGGCGUAAAGUGGUGCGUAGGUGGCAUGGGAAGUUGGUAGUGAAAGCGUGAGGCUCAACCGCAUUUCCAUUAUCAAAACUGCCAAGCUUGAGUGCGGGAGAGGUAGCUGGAAUUCCCAGUGUAGGAGUGAAAUCCGUAGAUAUUGGGAGGAACACCGAUGGCGUAGGCAGGAUACUGGCCCGUUACUGACACUAAGGCACGAAAGCGUGGGGAGCGAACGGGAUUAGAUACCCUUUAGUC